GUGCUUGCCUUGGCAACACAUAUAUUAAAAUUGGAAUGAUACAGAGAAGAUUAGCAUGGCCCCUGUGCAAAAAGAAAUCCAAAUCAAUACAACAAUGGGAUACCAUCUUA